UGGUUCUGGCAUCGAUGAAGAACGCAGCGAAAUGCGAUAAGUAGUGUGAAUUGCAGAAUUCAGUGAAUCAUCGAAUCUUUGAACGCACAUUGCGCCCCUUGGUAUUCCUUGGGGCAUGCCUGUUCGAGCGUCAUUUACACCCUCAAGCUCAGCUUGGUGAUGGGCGACUGUCCCCCCGCGGACUCGCCUCAAACGCAUUUGGCGGCUGGACCGGUGGCUCUACCCUGCAGCAAACGCAGCACGAGGCCAGCGGCUCCGGCGAACCAUAAGCCCCUUUCUCAGUUUUGACCUCGGAUCAGGUAGGGAUACCCGCUGA
rnacentral:misc_RNA from 1 species